AGUCUACCUGCCCACUGAAUAAAUUUAAAUGGCCGCAGUAUACUAACUGUGCAAAGGUAGCAUAAUCAUUAGUCUUUUAAUUGAAGGCUUGUAUGAAUGGUUGGACGAGAUAUUAACUGUUUCAUAAAAAUUUAUAAUAGAAUUUUAUUUUUUAGUUAAAAAGCUAAAAUAAAGUUAAAAGACGAGAAGACCCUAUAAAUCUUUAUAUAUAAAUUAUUAGAAUUUUAUAGAUUUUUUUUAUUAUAAUAAUUAAUUAUAUUUUAUUGGGGUGAUAUUAAAAUUUAAUAAACUUUUAAUUGUUUAAAUCAUUAAUUUAUGAAUAAUUGAUCCGUUAAUAACGAUUAAAAAAAUAAGUUACUUUAGGGAUAACAGCGUAAUUUUUUUGGAGAGUUCAUAUCGAUAAAAAAGAUUGCGACCUCGAUGUUGGAUUAAGAUAUAAUUUUAGGUGUAGCCGCUUAAAUUUUAAGUCUGUUCGACUUUUAAAUUCUUA
rnacentral:rRNA from 1 species